rnacentral:rRNA from 1 species
UACAGAGGUCUCAAGCGUUGUUCGGAUUCAUUGGGCGUAAAGGGUGCGUAGGUGGCGCCAUAAGUCAGGUGUGAAAUCUCGGGGCUCAACCCCGAAACUGCACUUGAUACUGUGGUGCUGGAGUACUGGAGAGGAGAUUGGAAUUUACGGUGUAGCAGUGAAAUGCGUAGAUAUCGUAAGGAAGACCAGUGGCGAAGGCGAAUCUCUGGACAGUUACUGACACUGAGGCACGAAGGCCAGGGAGCAAACGGG